UAGCUCAGUUGGUAGAGCGUUUGCCUGUCAUGCACAAGGUCCUGGGUUCAAUCCCCAG
rnacentral:tRNA from 1 species